rnacentral:lncRNA from 1 species
UUUAUUCCUCGUGGAAUAUUUUGAUUUAUAUUUUGACAACAAGUGUCGGUCUCUUUAUUUGAGAAGCUUUUUUUGUUCCCGAAUUCUUUUUGGAUGGUAAAUGGCAGUCUCCUUUUGGACAGUUUGUCUAUCCCCAAUGAAGUUAUCAGUAUAUCAAUUUUCUUUCAUCAAAUAGUUCUCUCUCCGGAAAAUCCCCGCCAAAGAAGUUUAUUGAAGAUCAGUUAUCAAUUUCCUUUCAUCAAAU